AUUGAACGCUGGCGGCAGGCCUAACACAUGCAAGUCGAACGAGUGGCGGACGGGUGAGUAAUGUCUGGGAACCUGCCCGAUGGAGGGGGAUAACUACUGGAAACGGUAGCUAAUACCGCAUACCAUCGGAUGUGCCCAGGUGGGGUUAGCGAGUAGGUGGGGUAACGGCUCACCUAGGCGCCGCUGCCUAGCUGGUCUGAGAGGAUGACCAGCCACACUGGAACUGUGACACGGUCCAGACUCCUACGGGAGGCAGCAGUGGGGAAGCUGGGACAAUGGGCGCAAGCCUGAUGCAGCCAUGCCGCGUGUAUGAAGAAGGCCUGCGGGUUGUAAAGUACUUUCAGCGAGGAGGCGUUACUCGCAGAAGAAGCACCGGCUAACUCCGUGCCAGCAGCCGCGGUAAUAC
rnacentral:rRNA from 1 species